UAUGGCUUUUUUUUUCUCCAAAGGGUUUUUCAGGAAGCACAAGUCCGUGCAGCACCAGAGAAAAUAAAACCACCUCUUCCCCACAAACAACCCACCAUUGCCUUUCACACCAACACAUGUAUAGACCUCAAUAUAUCCCGAAAACACAAGACACCACUCUGCCCUAUAUUAUAUAUAUAUUUGGUAUUCUGGUCUUUUGUUAAAGUGGGUCAUCUUAAUUCUGGCUGACAAGAUCUCAGACUUAGCUUUAUAUGUUCUAACAGUACUGUCUAUGUCUAAUUUUAGAUUGUAAGCUCCUUGGGGCAGGGACCGUGUCUUCCUCCAUGUUUGUACUCUGCCAAGUACACUAUCGGCACUCAGUAAAUAACCACAGUUGUGCAACAAAACUGUAUUAGGAGGUAAAGAACUUCAGCACUGAAAACUCCAAAGAAGAUCCCUGUGUACAAGCUUUGUGUUGCUUUUUUCUGAACUGGCCUUUAAAAUGAAUGUGAUUUCCACUGUACGGUAGUUUAAAUAAACACAUUUUAGGUCAGGUCUUCUGUUUGUCCACAGAGGUGUUAAUUUAACCAUAGUACAUGUCACAGUUACAGGGCAAACUGCAUUUUAGUUCCCUUUUAGUCCCUCUUGCGUGACAGGUGUGGCUUCGUACACUUCACCCUGCCCCACUGUUUCCCCAACUGUGCUAAUGCAACAGGCCAACUGCAUUUAGCACCUGUCAGCUCUUUCGCUAUGGGCACCUGUGACCAGAUUGUUGAUUAAAAUGACUCAGACAGUG